rnacentral:rRNA from 1 species
AGCGAACGCUGGCGGUAGGCCUAACACAUGCAAGUCGAACGAACUCUUCGGAGUUAGUGGCGGACGGGUGAGUAACACGUGGGAACGUGCCUUUAGGUUCGGAAUACCUCAGGGAAACUUGUGCUAAUACCGAAUGUGCCCUUCGGGGGAAAGAUUUAUCGCCUUUAGAGCGGCCCGCGUCUGAUUAGCUAGUUGGUGAGGUAACGGCUCACCAAGGCGACGAUCAGUAGCUGGUCUGAGAGGAUGGCCAGCCACACUGGGACUGAGACACGGCCCAGACUCCUACGGGAGGCAGCAGUGGGGAAUCUUGCGCAAUGGGCGAAAGCCUGACGCAGCCAUGCCGCGUGAAUGAUGAAGGUCUUAGGAUUGUAAAAUUCUUUCACCGGGGACGAUAAUGACGGUACCCGGAGAAGAAGCCCCGGCUAACUUCGUGCCAGCCGCCGCAGUAA